UCAAAUCAAACAUGAAACAAAUUACAAAAUUAAGGCAAAAUGCAAAUUAUGGAUAUUUAUUCGAGUGUUUAUCAUGAAAAUUAGUAUUUAUCGCGUUUUUUAAUACAAAGUACAAAAUUGAAAAUGGAUUCUCUUUGUCGUUUAUGCUGUUCAUCAAAAUAUGUAAAUAAUGAUAUUUUUGACGACGACAAUGCUUUAUAUUUAAAAAUGUCUCUUUUACCAGUAAAGGUUUCGAAAUAUGAUCAGUUACCGAAAAGGAUUUGUAAUAAGUGUAGUUGUAAAGUUAAUGAUUUAUACCAAUUUUGUAAUGAGGCUAUCCAAGCUGAAACCAGAUUACGUAACUUAAAAGCAUCAGCAAGCAUAGUUGAUUUCGUUAUUAAAGAUGAAAUCGAUUGCCCAAUACCAAUUGUUACACAUUUAGACCAAACUACACAGACUGACAGUGAAAAUAAUAUAUCUAUAAAGAAAGAACCAAAAUCACCAACACUAUCAGGUACUAUACAAGUCAAACUUGAAAUUAACGAUAAUGGUGAUGAUAAUUCUUGUUCGGCAUCACCAGUUGCGCCAGAUGAUUGUGAUAAUCAGAGCCUUAGUGAGAAAAAUGAUAGGAGUGAAGUAGAAAAUUCGGAUGUGAAAUUAAAGAAGAGAAAUGUAAAGAGCCAACUUAAGUUUGAGGAAACCAAUUCAAUUGAUGAUGAUGCUCAUGAUAGUGACGACUCAAGUGUUACUUUAGAUUUGGUUAAGUCCGAGAUUGAAUGGGAUAAGGAAACAAAGAGCAAUGGAAAGCAGAAUUUAUAUUGUUGUAUAUGUUUUGAGAAGUUCGAUAAGACAAUACCUCUUUUAAAACAUUACAGACGCCAUGCGAAGGCAGCUGAAAAUCUGGAGACACUUCAACCGCCACCAUUCAAAAGAGAUCAGAGGUGUGGAAGAUGUCGUAAGCUACUAAAUGAUGAAAUACUAUGGAACGCACAUUGGCUUAGCCACUUCAAGAGGGACCGACAACCAUACAGGUGUUCUCUGUGUGAGAAGUCCUUCAAGAACCAUCAUACGAUACUUAAGCAUGGAAUGACACAUAAACUUGAGCCCUCUCAGAAGAUGAUAGCAGUACCAGAAAAGAGGUUCGUCUGUGAUAUAUGUCCUGAGGGAUUCCAUUAUAUGAGGAGUCUUCUGUCACACCGCUACCGCGCACACCCUGAUGCAGUAUCCCGCGUGAUGGUUCUCCGGUGCCCAGUGUGCGGGAGGGAGUUCUCCCAGAUGGCGUCUCUGCGCAGACAUCAGAAAUCCCACACGGGGGAGAAGAACUAUCUGUGCAAUGUUUGCGGGAAGGCAGUCUCCACCCAGGAGCAUCUCAAGUUCCAUUUGAGGAUACACGAGCAGUACAAGCCGUAUGUUUGCAAAACAUGCAAUAAGGGCUUCGUGAAGAAGUGCAACCUAAAACUGCAUGAGCGCGUGCAUUCAGGCGAGAAACCGCACGUGUGCUCGUGUUGUGGGAAGGCGUUUGCGCAGCGCUCCAGCCUGGUUGUACACGAGAGGUUACACACAGGCGAGCGACCGUACACUUGCCGAGUGUGUGGACGCGGAUUCGUCGCUCGCGGUCUUCUGACGUCACACGAGAAGACCUCCUGCGUGGAGCUUGGUCCGCCCCGGCCUGUCUCUGCCAACCCUCCUAUCAAUCUCUCUAUAUGAUAAAAUCGCCUUCCCAGAAUGGCCACAGUAGAUCAAUUUAAACAAUUUAAGAGAUAAGAAAAGAGACACUUCCAAAGGUUUUGGGACCAAAAGAUCAAGUAUAACGCAUAGUAUAUAAUAAUUUUAUUAGAUUAAAUAUAUUUUAUUUUCAAAGAUGAUAAACGUUUGUUAAUUAUGGAACAAAUAAUGGUCGGCGCUAAUGAUGGCCUAUUUUGAAUAUUUUCUAUUUGGCAUUAUUAAAGAUAUAUUAUGUAAUUUCAAAAAAUCAUUAGAAUGGCACACAGAACAAAGAGGAGUGGUACAGAAGUUUGACAUAGUCAACACCUUUGAAAGUAAUAGCUACUUUAGGUUCUCGCCUUUAAGAUUCAUUUUUCGUUAUUCUAUAUUUCAUAAUACAUUGAUAAAUUAGUUUACGCACACUACGGUCUAAUCGCACAUACUUAUUCAGGGCUGAGGCACAAUACAGUGAUAGAACAGAAGUGUAACUUAGUGGUCUCCUUGAAAUUUAUACCAAAGUCUGGGCGGGUGCGCUAGGGUUGGUUACGUGCACAAAGUAAAAUUACGAAUUGACGAUGCACUCAAUAGUUUUGUAUUCCCAAGAUUGCUUAGCGGCUGUGGAAAUUGUAUAUGUGUGCGUGCGUCGAUUUGGGCGCUUUUUUUAUGAAAAUAAGGUAUGAGAAGAACAUGACAUUCAGCUGAUGGUAAUUGAUACGCCAUACCCAAAGCAGUGCCGCUCAGGAUUCUUGAAAAACGCAAAAAUUCUGAGCGGCACUACAACUGCGCUUGUCACCUUGAGACAUAAGAUGUUAUGUCUCAUUUGCCCAGUAAUUUCACUAGCUACGGCGCCCUUCAGACCGAAACACAGUAAUGUUUACACAUUACUGCUUCGCGGCAGAUAUAGGUGCCGUUGUGGUACCCAUAAUCUAGCCGGCUUCCUGUGCAAAAGAGCCUCCCACUGGCUUUAGAAUGAAGUUGAAGUACUGUUCUAUUACUGUUUUGUAGCGUGAUUGUGAGCUCAUUCCUUAGUCUAAAAAAGUCCUUUAAAAAGUAUUUUAUUUAAAUGUGUAACACUUGCGUUAAUCAAAGAAGAAAAUGAGGGUAAUAAUGAAAAUAGUUUUAGAUUGCGUGACUAAACUGCCAAUUUUGUCAGUUUUGGAAUUAUUUAAUAUUCUUAUAUAAAUAUAAUUAUUAAUAGCAGUAAGAAAGUAUUGUUAUUUUAUUGCAAUUAUUUUAAAUUACAGAGUUCGUAUUAGCGAACCAUCGUACGGAGUUAUAAUGUGAUAUCUUGAAUUUUAAUUGUUUUAUCGAUAUGCUAAAUCAUAUGUUGCCAAGAUUUAUGAACGGUUCAAUAUCGGACAGUUGAUUCUAACCACAAACUUAAUAUACUACAGUAAUAGACGAACCCUGUGUGAAAGUGAGAUAAUUAUUAUCCUUACAUAAAAACCUAGGUGUGAGAAAGAGACGGAAUAGGUAAAGACCAUGAAACCGUUUUAAUUUAGUGUCCAUUAGUCUCCUGUCAAAUUGGACCGCGUUUUAAUUUUAGUAUUUAUAUCGGCAUUUUUCUGUGUUUUAACGGAUUAAAAAAUAUAAUGGUGUCGUGUUCUGUAUUGGAUUGUGUUGUUUAAUAUAGCAACAAUCCAACGAAAGAAACAUUUCACAGGUAAAUACCGAUUCCUCAAUACUACUUCCGUGAUGUUUAUUUUCGUAGAACAUAUGCACUAAAAUACUAAAUAUUACACAUUAUAUACGCAGUAAACACUAUUUUCUAAAGAUUAUAUUAAUUAAAAAACAUGUGUUAGAAAAUAAAAUAUUGUAUACGUGAAUAUGACGCUGUUUAUCAAUAUUUGUCAUAGGGAUUGACCAAAGGCAAAAUACACACUUCACUCUCUCAUUAACAAAUCUGUAAAACUAGUACACAUGAACAAUUUAAAUUUUGUCUCGUCGUUAUGAGGAGAGUGUUUGUCUAUUACCCUAGUAGGUAUACUAAGUUUAUUCCCAUCUCAAGCUGGUUCGAAUAGCAUCGUCCAUAAAUAUAAGUACGUAUAAAAAUCUGUACUUAUAUAAAGUUGUGUUCUAUUUGUUUGUCAAUUUUUUUCAGCUUUUUGUCACUUUUCAGUUUAAGCGGUGAGCACAAAGAAAGUUAUCAACACGGACGAGUAAAAAAAAGAAGGACUCCGCACCGUGAUAUUAGCAAGUGAAGCACCGUUAUGCUAGUGUGUGUGCGGUUACGUGGGAUACUAGUUAGAUAAUUUUUUCUCCCUUAAAUAAUCAUAUAUGGCAACAAAUACUUAUAAAGUAUCGUUUUUACACUAUUUCACAGCGCACGACGGCAUUUUUGAAAUAUUUUAUUGAGACGCAAACUGAUCUGUCACAGACGAUGACAAUUCUCAUAACGGCAGCCUAUCGGCCUGUAGUAGUGUAAGUGUGUGCGUGGGGCUAUGUAUUUACACAUUAAUCGGCUUGUUUUGGUGCUACACUGUAAUGUAAGGUGACACGGAGUCCUUAUUUUUUUACUAGUCCGUGGUUAACAAAUGAAAUUUGAAAACUUUCUGAAAAAAUUUUAUGAACGAUGCGGGUCUCGACAACUGACAACUCAGUUGGCAGAGCACUGGCACAGAACGCCGGAGGUCGUGGGUUCGAGUCCCGUAUCGUUCAUGAUUUUUUUUUUCAACUUUAUUUGUGUAUUAAUCCUAGAAGUGAGGGUUAUCACUUUAAAAACAUAAAAAGUUAGUUAAGUUAAAUGUAACCACCAAUUAAUUGUAGUUUUAACUGUAAGUGUAUUUGUUUCAUCAUAGAAAAAUGGUACCUAUGUGGUUGUAUAUUUUAUAUGUUGGCAUUUAUUUAGGAGUUGAACCAAUUUUGUAUGAUGACAAAAGUCAAGUGCCUGUUAAUGUAAGUACUUAUGUGAUUAAAAGUAAAUAACGAA